rnacentral:rRNA from 1 species
UACGAAGGGUGCAAGCGUUACUCGGAAUUACUGGGCGUAAAGCGUGCGUAGGCGGUUUGUUAAGUCCGUUGUGAAAGCCCUGGGCUCAACCUGGGAACUGCGUCUGAUACUGGAUGGCUUGAGAUUGGGAGAGGGAUGCGGAAUUCCAGGUGUAGCGGUGAAAUGCGUAGAUAUCUGGAGGAACACCGGUGGCGAAGGCGGCAUCCUGGACCAACACUGACGCUGAGGAGCGAAAGCCAGGGGAGCAAACGGG